AGAGUUUGAUCAUGGCUCAGAAUCAACGCUGGCGGCGUGCCUAACACAUGCAAGUCGAACGAGAAAGUGGAGCAAUCCAUGAGUACAGUGGCGCACGGGUGAGUAACACGUGACUAACCUACCCUGGAGUGGGGGAUAACUGAGGGAAACCUUAGCUAAUACCGCAUAAUACCUACGGGUCAAAGGAGCAAUUCGCUUCAGGAGGGGGUCGCGGCCGAUUAGUUAGUUGGCGGGGUAAUGGCCCACCAAGACAGUGAUCGGUAUCCGGCCUGAGAGGGCGCACGGACACACUGGAACUGAAACACGGUCCAGACUCCUACGGGAGGCAGCCGUGGGGAAUUUUGCGCAAUGGGGGAAACCCUGACGCAGCAACGCCGCGUGGAGGAUGAAGUCCUUCGGGACGUAAACUCCUUUCGAUCGGGACGAUAAUGACGGUACCGGAAGAAGAAGCCCCGGCUAACUUCGUGCCAGCAGCCGCGGUAAUACGAGGGGGGCGAGCGUUGUUCGGAAUUAUUGGGCGUAAAGGGUGCGUAGGCGGUUUUGUAAGUCUUAUGUGAAAUCUAUGGGCUCAACUCAUAGACUGCAUGAGAAACUGCAGGGCUUGAGUAUGGGAGAGGUGAGUGGAAUUCCUGGUGUAGCGGUGAAAUGCGUAGAUAUCAGGAGGAACACCUGUGGCGAAAGCGGCUCACUGGACCAUAACUGACGCUGAUGCACGAAAGCUAGGGGAGCAAACAGGAUUAGAUACCCUAGUAGUCC
rnacentral:rRNA from 1 species